AUAUGGACGCAGCAGUUACUUUACGACCGCUGUGAGUGAAUAUAUAUAAAUUUCUACUAAAAUGUAGAUUUUAAAAACUAUUAAAACUGGGAUCUGUCAAGUGUACGGCACCGGUAAACAACUAAUCCAGCCGUGUACUGCAGAGCACGAGGCACAUGCUCCGAUGCUAAGGGAAGUUUCUUGCGACCUUCCUACUCUUUGUC